rnacentral:misc_RNA from 1 species
GAUGAAGAACGCAGCGAAAUGCGAUAAGUAGUGUGAAUUGCAGAAUUCAGUGAAUCAUCGAAUCUUUGAACGCACAUUGCGCCCUUUGGUAUUCCUUAGGGCAUGCCUGUUCGAGCGUCAUUUAAACCUUCAAGCUAAGCUUGGUGUUGGGUGACUGUCCGCUUCACUGCGGACUCGCCUCAAAAUUAUUGGCGGCCGGUACAUUGGCUUCGAGCGCAGCAGAAACGCGAACUCGGGCCCGUUGUAUUGGCUCCCAGAAGCUAUCUUCACAAUUUUGACCUCGGAUCAGGUAGGGAUACCCGCUGAACUUAAGCAUAUCAAUAAGCGGAGGA